rnacentral:lncRNA from 1 species
AGUGCACCCAGUUAGACUUGGAGCGGAAACUCAAGUUGAAUGAAAAUGCCAUCUCCAGGCUCCAGGCUAACCAAAAGUCUGUUCUGGUGUCGGUGUCAGAGGUCAAAGCAGUGGCUGAAAUGCAGUUUGGGGAACUCCUUGCUGCUGUGAGGAAGGCCCAGGCCAAUGUGAUGCUCUUCUUAGAGGAGAAGGAGCAAGCUGCGCUGAGCCAGGCCAACGGUAUCAAGGCCCACCUGGAGUACAGGAGUGCCGAGAUGGAGAAGAGAGUACUGCAAGUUUAAGAACACUGAAGACAUCACCUUCCCUAGUGUUUACAUAGGGCUGAAGGAUAAACUCUCGGGCAUCCGCAAAGUUAUCACGGAAUCCACUGUACACUUAAUCCAGUUGCUGGAGAACUAUAAGAAAAAGCUCCAGGAGUUUUCCAAGGAAGAGGAGUAUGACAUCAGAACUCAAGUGUCUGCCAUUGUUCAGCGCAAAUAUUGGACUUCCAAACCUGAGCCCAGCACCAGGGAACAGUUCCUCCAAU